UCCUGAAAUAGAGAAAAAAUAGGAUAAGUAUUUACUAACUCUUUACAAAGUAUUUCGUUACAAUUUGUAAAUAAAGAUAGUAACACUGUUUUUUGCUACCUCAAUAUUUGCCUCUGCAAUGUGAGCCUAGAUUUUAAUCUUUGUUAUUUGCUCAAUGAUUUUUUUAGAUGUUAAAUAAGCAUGGCUGAAUAUUCAGUCACCUGCGUUUUAAUGAAUUACCAUGACUUAAUAUUCAGGUGUGUUCAGUUUCUUUUAUGUCUGUGCAAUGUAGUAGGGGUGCAUCCUAAAGGUUCAUGAAUUAAUCUAAGCUGGCUGCAUGAAUGAUUAUAGGGCUAAAAAAUUCAUAAGUAAAUGGGCUAAAAAAUAUAACAACACCAGUUUGCCUGACUACUUAUGUACAAAUUCAUUUAGCACAAAAACUUGACUUGCAGAAUUAAAAAUGACUAUAGGUAAUUUAGUUCACCACCUGCCAUUCAUAUAUAUAUUGAAUUGGGUUGCCAUUGUUGGUGUAGAGGCAUUCUGAACUGGCUUGCCAUGCUGACAUUGCUAUGGCUUUCACUAGCCAUUUACACCUUGCUGGCAGAAAGGCCAAAACCAAUCCAUCUUUUGAAUGUUAAUUUUGUUAUGUUUGAUCUCAUUUUAUUUAUGGCCGGAGAGCCUGUAGCGACACCCCCCGGCCUGGCCCUGUAUCCGGUGGGUAUGAUCUGAUAUCUGAUAAAUGAGAUCUCUGUCUCUAUUCGUCUGCUCACAGUGACUUGUUUGUCCUAUUGAUCGCCAUCUGGUUAUAUCGGUAUUCGGAUAAGGAUGUUUUCAAAUGGAAAUUUAAACGGGUAGAAAAUAUUGCAGAUAACGUAGAUGGGUACUUAAGUGGAUUUUUUAUCCUACAAUAUAUGUCUACAUGGAAUAGACCAAAAGCCACGCAUAUUUAUAUAGAUGGUACGGAGAUGCGGCGGAAUUUAUUUGUGGAUUUAUUGGCACACGAAAGAAAUAGAUAUCGGAGAUAUCUUCCUGUCGAUAUUAAACAUUAUCUUAGCCGUAUCACGGAAAGAUCUAUAAAGUAGAAUUUGUGAGCCUAUAACAUCGUGCUCUCUGUGACCGUGUUUAAUUUCACGAACUUUGUUUCUUUAAGUCAAAUGUAACUUUAUAGUUGGUAUUUAAGUUUUAUUAUAAUAUUAUUAUCUUA